UACGUAGGGGGCAAGCGUUGUCCGGAAUUAUUGGGCGUAAAGAGCGUGUAGGCGGUCCGGUAAGUCGGCUGUGAAAGUCCAGGGCUCAACCCUGGGAUGCCGGUCGAUACUGCCGGACUAGAGUUCGGAAGAGGCGAGUGGAAUUCCCGGUGUAGCGGUGAAAUGCGCAGAUAUCGGGAGGAACACGUAUGGCGAAGGCAGCUCGCUGGGACGUUACUGACGCUGAGACGCGAAAGCGUGGGGAGCAAGCAGG
rnacentral:rRNA from 1 species